CCUGAUCCAGCCAUGCCGCGUGUGUGAAGAAGGCCUUUUGGUUGUAAAGCACUUUAAGCAGUGAAGAAGACCAUAUGGUUAAUACCCAUAUGCGAUGACAUUAGCUGCAGAAUAAGCACCGGCUAACUCUGUGCCAGCAGCCGCGGUAAUCA
rnacentral:rRNA from 1 species